GCGCAGCAGUCGCGAAACCUUCGCAAUGCGGGAAACCGCGACGAGGGGACUCCCAGUGCCUACGCUCAGCGUAGGCUGUUCCCGAGCCUAGAAAGCUCGGGGAGUAAGGGCUGGGUAAGACGGGUGCCAGCCGCCGCGGUAAUACCCGCAGCCCGAGUGGUGGCCACUAUUAUUGGGCCUAAAGCGUCCGUAGCCGGCCCGGUAAAUGCCUGGGUAAAUCGUGAGGCCUAACCUCACGAAUUCCGGGUAGACUGCCGGGCUAGGGACCGGAGGAGGGAGAGGGUACUCCAGGGGUAGGGGUGAAAUCCUGUAAUCCCUGGAGGACCACCGGUGGCGAAGGCGCUCUCCUAGGACGGGUCCGACGGUGAGGGACGAAAGCCAGGGGAGCGAACCGGAUUAGAUACCCCCGUAGUCCCUGAGACUA
rnacentral:rRNA from 1 species